CCUACGGGAGGCAGCAGUGGGGAAUAUUGCGCAAUGGGCGAAAGCCUGACGCAGCGACGCCGCGUGAGGGAUGAAGGUCCUCGGAUCGUAAACCUCUUUUCUCAGGGACGAAGCAAGUGACGGUACCUGAGGAAUAAGCCACGGCUAACUACGUGCCAGCAGCCGCGGUAAUACGGAGGUGGCAAGCGUUAUCCGGAUGUACUGGGUGUAAAGGGCGUGUAGGCGGGAAAGCAAGUCAGAUGUGAAAACCAUGGGCUCAACCUGUGGCCUGCAGUUGAAACUGUUUUUCUUGAGUACUGGGGAGGCAGACGGAAUUCGUGGUGUAGCGGUGAAAUGCGUAGAUAUUAGGAGGAACACCAGUGGCGAAGGCAGUCUGCUGGACAGCAACUGACGCUGAGGCGCGAAAGCGUGGGGAGCGAACAGGAUUAGAUACCCCUGUAGUC
rnacentral:rRNA from 1 species